rnacentral:rRNA from 1 species
GCGGUUCGCCGCCGGCAACGUUGUGAGAAGUCCACUAAACCUCAUCAUUUCGAGGAUGGAGAAGUUGUAAAAAGGUUUCCGUAGGUGAACCUACGGAAGGAUCAUUGUCGAGGACCGAUAGAGGGGUAGACCUGCAAACUUGUCACCGACACAUGUGGGGGCGAUCAGCCGACUCGAGCCCGCGGCACCGGCAUGAGGCCAGGCGCGACACUGGUGCGACCCCCCGACGCUGUUCCCCCCGUGGCACCGGUGCAUGCAGGGCAUGGUGGGCCAUGGCGCACAUGACCAAACAGGCGCCAAGGACCCCAAGUGGAGCGGGGGAGGCGAAUGGGAGUCGAGCAAGCUGCCGCACUAACUCUCCCCCACGGAGUGACGGAGAUUGCAUCGGAUGACUCUCGGCAAUGGAUAUCUCGGCUCUCGCAUCGAUGAAGAACGUAGCGAAAUGCAAUACUUGGUGUGAAUUGCAGAAUCUGCAAACCAUUGAGUCUUUGAACGCAAGUUGUGCCCAAAGCCACCCAUCCGAGGGCACACCUGCCUAGGUGUCACGCACCACGCCGCUCAUACCCCAUUGGGGCUACGGGCAGAGACUUGCUGAUCGUGCACGAGUGCGCAGUGGGCCGAAAAGAGAUCCGAUCGCCCCGMUGCUGGGCGGCAGCAUGGCGUUGGGUGGUCCUCAAGGUUCUCGGUGCCUUGGAGAUCGGAUGUCGCCGCCGCCUCCCCCAUGGGGCCAUAAUGGCGCCCAUGUGCUGCGAUGCGACCCCAGGUCAGGCGGGGCCACUCGCUGAGUUUAAGCAUAUAAAUAAGCGGAGGA